AGAAUGCUGACAUGAGUAGCGACAAAGAGUGUGAGAAACACUCUCGCCGUAAGUCCAAGGGUUCCUCGGCAAGGCUAAUCCGCCGAGGGUGAGCCGGCCCCUAAGGCGAGGCCGAAAGGCGUAGUCGAUGGGAACCAGGUUAAUAUUCCUGGGCCAGCGGGUAGUGACGGAUUGCGGACGUUGUACACUCUUACUGGAUUGAGUGUGCAGCCAAGCCGUCCCUGGAAAUAGCUCCCGCAUGAGACCGUACCCCAAACCGACACAGGUGGACUGGUAGAGCAUACCAAGGCGCUUGAGAGAAC
rnacentral:rRNA from 1 species